rnacentral:rRNA from 1 species
UAAAACGUAGGGGGCGAGCGUUGCCCGGAUUCACUGGGCGUAAAGCGGGUGUAGGCGGUCCGUUAAGUCGGAUGUGAAAUCUCCGAGCUCAACUCGGAAACUGCAUCCGAUACUGUCGGACUUGAGGACGGUAGAGGUCGGUGGAAUGCGCGGUGUACCGGUGAAAUGGACAGAUAUCGCGCGGAACACCAGUGGCGAAGGCGGCCGACUGGGCCGAUCCUGACGCUGAGACCCGAAAGCCAGGGUAGCGAACCGGAUUAGAUACCCGGGUAGUCCUGGCCGUAAACGGUGCGGACUAGGUGUGGGGGGCGUCAUGCCUUCUGUGCCGAAGCUAACGCAUUAAGUCCGCCGCCUGGGGAGUACGGCCGCAAGGCUA